AAGAAAUCUGGAAUAUAGACUUAGUGGUAUUACAUGUAAAACAUUAUUAUCAAUAUUCAACUCAUAUAACUAAAUCACUUUUAUGGUAGCUUGUGUGUGUGUGUGUGUGUGUGUGUGUGUGUAUGAAAAAACAUAGUUCUAUCAGGUUCUUCUUA
rnacentral:sRNA from 1 species